rnacentral:lncRNA from 12 species
AUGCUGAGCCCACAGCUGCGCAGCUCGCGGGCCCAGGGAGUCCUGGGGAGCACCGACCCGCACGCCUCCACCGCAUUUCCAGCGGCCCCUCUCGGGCGCUGCAGUCUGCGUCUCCAGCCAACCACGAGGUCCCUCCGCGCUCUGCAGGGCGGCUCGGGCGGGGCUCGGGCGGGGCGCGGACACCCGAACCGUCCCGUGCCCGCCUGCCCCGACCCUCCCGCGUCCACCCCCACCUCGUCCUCCACCUGCCGCAGGACCGUCGCUGCUACCGGGUGUCCGAGGCCGCGAGCGCGCCCGACCACACGCGCCGUCGCAGCGCCUCCCCCGGGCCGCGGGCCACCCGGCAGCAGCCCCCUGCGCGCCUCCCCUGAGCGCCCUCAGGCCCGCCCCGCCCCGCCCCGCCCCCGUGGCCCUCGCGCCCCGCGCUCCCCCAGCCCCGACCCGGCCCCGGCCCGCCCUCGCCCCGGCGCGCAGAAGGGGCCCGGCGGGGGCCACGCCGUCCACCACCUACCAUCCUCCCCGGCGCUUUCCCGGCUUCUCGCCGGCUCCGCGUCCGCGCAGGCGCCCCAGCCCGCAGCCCGCCCCGCCCCGCCCCCCGCGGCGGCGCCCGGACACCCACUCAGAGCGAGGGGGCGGGACGCUCAGGUCAGGCUCGGCCUCCCAGCUCCCGACGUGCACCGCGCCCCCGGGGCCGCCGGGACCCAGGCCCGCCGCCUCCUACAGCUCCCGACGUGCACCGCGCCCCCGGGGCCGCCGGGACCCAGGCCCGCCGCCUCCUACAGCUCCCGACGUGCACCGCGCCCCCGGGGCCGCCGGGACCCAGGCCCGCCGCCUCCUACAGCUCCCGACGUGCACCGCGCCCCCGGGGCCGCCGGGACCCAGGCCCGCCGCCUCCUACAAUUCCCGACGUGCACCGCGCCGCCCGGGGCCGCCGGCACCCAGGCCCGCCGCCUCCUACAGCUCCCGACGUGCACCGCGCCCCCGGGGCCGCCGGGACCCAGACCCGCGCCUCCUACAGCUCCCGACGUGCACCGCGCCGCCCGGGGCCGCCGGCACCCAGGCCCGCCGCCUCCUACAGCUCCCGACGUGCACCGCGCCCCCGGGGCCGCCGGGACCCAGACCCGCGCCUCCUACAGCUCCCGACGUGCACCGCGCCGCCCGGGGCCGCCAGCACCCAGGCCCGGCCCCUGA